UACGAAGGGGGCUAGCGUUGCUCGGAAUCACUGGGCGUAAAGGGUGCGUAGGCGGGUCUUUUAAGUCAGGGGUGAAAUCCUGGAGCUCAACUCCAGAACUGCCUUUGAUACUGAAGAUCUUGAGUCCGGGAGAGGUAAGUGGAACUGCGAGUGUAGAGGUGAAAUUCGUAGAUAUUCGCAAGAACACCAGUGGCGAAGGCGGCUCACUGGCCCGGUACUGACGCUGAGGCACGAAAGCGUGGGGAGCAAACAGGG
rnacentral:rRNA from 1 species